UUUCAUGCCAAGUAUGCUGCAGCCCGCAAGGCCGGAGCUCUUCAGAGACAAGGGUUGGUCAUCCUGCAGAGCCUGGAAAGCUUUAACUGGGCAGAGAAGACCACCUUUACAUCAGCAUGUUUAGCGAUCUUUUUAAAAUUAUGGGACACGCGAAGCACAUAGGGAAUCAUGGCCAGCUUUACAUUGUCCUCAGAAGGUUCUUUGUUCAGAUGGCAGUUUUGCGGCUUCUUCAGGGUCUUUUCUGCUACAGACACCAGAAUGGCUUGUGGGUAGCCUGCCUCCUCUAGACUGUCAAACUACUUGAGGAAACUAACCGUUGCUCUAUGUCGGCAGGACUUCUUUAAAGCAUUCAGCAAGCACAUAUUGGCGAUGCUACGUUUGACGAGCUUAGAGUGGGACGAGCUAAAAGGUAGCAGUGCUUUGUUUGCACGAGGCUCGUACUGCCAACAUACAUGGUCAGCUGCAAACAAAGCACUGUGCAUGCUCUGUUGGCGCGUGACGCCAUGAUAAAUGGGUAACAAUAAUGAUUGAGGCCAAGACAACCAUCGAAGAAGGCAAUAAGUGUUUAGCGGGGCUUCAAUUUCACUAUCACAAAAAGAGUGGUUUUACUUGAAUGCAACUGCACAUUGAUGAUUUGUGACAGCAAAUGCUGUAUAUAUACCCUGUGCUCAUUUCGUAAUAAACAUUGCUGGAAGAGGC
rnacentral:lncRNA from 1 species